AGAGGAAUUAAUUAAACUAUAAUAUUGCCUUGUCAAGACAAAAUUGCAAGUUAAACUCUUGUUUUCCUCUA
rnacentral:tRNA from 1 species